AGAAAAAGAACACAGAGCCUUCACGCUCACCAAGUCUCACUACCAUCGAGCAUACCUUCCUUCCUCUAAAUCAUCGUCGAGCUCACCUUGCCAUCUUUCCUCGUUGAUUAUUCUUUCCGUAGAACUCAAUUUCAUUAAUCUCUCUAUUGAACACAAACUCCACUGAAGAACUCAGAAACCCUAAAAUUCAAAUUGAUUAACCCAGAAUUCAAAAAUCCAGAAAAUUGAUUGAACUAAAAAAUCGAUUGAUUUGUUUCCAGAAAUCUUGACACGAAUUUGUUCGUUUCGGUCUCAUUCUUAUCCUUCGUACUUCGUCUUGUUGUCGUGUGCUCCGUAACAAUUAUCCUUCAAGGGUUUGCACUUUGGUUGAGUUUUGUAUGACAUGCCAUAUCACUCGCUAACAUCUAUCUGUCAAUGAAACCCUGUCACAAAUCCUCAUGCAAGAUUUGCCUCUACCUCUUUGAGCUACUUCGGUUUGAGGUUAAUUUCUUAAUAUUGAAAGUGUUAAGGUUCAGUAUUUAGAGUUAUUUAACAUUCUUAUUCUCUCUAUACUUAUUACACUUUGUUUUGGUUUGUUGAUGGUUUUGUUUCAUAUCUUUCUUUGAACAUGUGCGAGGAGAAGGAGGUUUCAUCUGUCUGUGAAGAAACCAAGUAGAAAAUAAAGAUUAUAGAAAACAUGGUGCAUCACAGCCUCUAAACAAAUUUUAUGUUACAGUUUUGAAGCAAGAUGAAAGAGAAGAAACUCAUGAAAAUGAAUAUGAAAAAGAAAAUCCUGCAUCUGAACUAGAGAAGGUUUCUCUUUUAAAUGAUCAAGAAAAGCCUACAGAAGCAAAUGAAAGUUGAAGUGGGUAUUUAAGGUAUAUUCUCUUCUGUAACCAAUUUUCAUUCCACUUCAAGGAUGCAUUUUGAGUCUUUGUUUUGGCUGAGUUAGCCGAUAGGGGAUGGAAGAUUGUGAAGAAAUGAGUCAUGGAUGAGUUUUAAGUCAUUGCAGGCAACCAUUAUCAUAUGCUAACAUGAUGUAGCGUCGGUGUAGAAUUUUGAGAUUAGAGUAAUCCUUAUCCCAAUACUGUUGGAGGUCACUUAUUAGUUUCGUAUUAGUAAUUCUGUUAGUGAAAAUUGAUUCUUGUUGUGAAGAUAAUAGUUUUAAAUGUCAGCAACCAUAGUGAUUUUAAUGCCAACCAACAUAUUAUUAUGAUAAUGGCUUGUGUGAGAGUUCAUAUUAGU